rnacentral:rRNA from 1 species
AGCGAACGCUGGCGGCGUGCUUAACACAUGCAAGUCGAGUGCGUAGCCCUUUGUAGCAAUACAGAGGGUGGGCGCACGGCGCACGGGUGAGUAACACGUGGGUAACCUGCCCUUCGGUGGGGAAUAACCCCGCGAAAGCGGGGCUAAUUCCGCAUAACAUUCCGGGGACACAUGUUCUCGGACUCAAAGGAGUGAUUCGCCGGAGGAGGGGCCCGCGCCCGAUUAGCUUGUUGGUAGGUAACGGCCACCAAGGCUUUGAUCGGUAGCCGGUCUGAGAGGAUGGCCGGCCACACUGGAACUGAGACACGGUCCAGACUCCUACGGGAGGCAGCAGUGGGGAAUCUUGCGCAAUGGGCGAAAGCCUGACGCAGCGACGCCGC